AACCCUCAUGCUCCAAUUCAACAGUCUUGGGAAGUGCUUAAUGAGGAGGGAAACAUUGUGUGGGCAACCACUGCAGUCCAUCCCCUCUGGACUUGGUGGCCUGAUCUCACACCUGACAUCUGUAAGUUAGUGGCAGGAUCCCCCAAAUGGGACCUCCCCGAUCAUACCGAUCUUAGUAACCCACCCCCUGAAGAGCGGUGUGUCCCAAACGGGAUAGGGAGCACAUAUGGGUGUUCGGGGCAGUUUUACCGAGCUAAUCUUAGAGCUGCACAAUUUUAUGUUUGCCCUGGUCAGGGUCGGAGCAAAAGGCUUCAACGAGAAUGUGGAGGGGCAUCAGAUUACUUUUGUGGUAAAUGGACAUGUGAAACGACAGGGGAAGCUUACUGGAAGCCCUCCUCUGACUGGGACCUAAUCACGGUAAAACGAGGAAGUGGCUAUGAUAAGUCAAACCAAGGAGAAAGAAACCCCUAUAAAUAUCCAGAGAGUGGGUGCGCUUUUAAAAACAGCCCCCCAGGACCAUGCAAAGGUAAAUACUGCAACCCCCUACUUAUAAAGUUCACCGAGAAAGGGAAACAACACCGUCUAAGUUGGCUUAAAGGAAAUAGGUGGGGUUGGCGAGUAUACAUUCCACUAAGAGAUCCUGGGUUCAUUUUCACGAUCAGGCUGACAGUGAGAGACCCGGCGGUGACACUCGUUGGGCCCAACAAGGUCCUUAUAGAACAGGGCCCCCCUAGUCCAGGGAGCUUUUUUAGCUUUAAAUAGAACUAACCCUAAUAUGACUCAAUCAUGCUGGUUAUGCUAUACCUCUAGCCCCCCUUAUUAUGAAGGAAUAGCUCAGAUCAGGACUUAUAAUAUUACUUCAGAUCAUUCUCAAUGUCUUUGGGGAGAAAACAGAAAGUUGACUCUAGCAGCAGUUUCAGGAAGAGGGCUUUGUUUGGGCCAGGUACCUCAGGAUAAAGGGCACCUCAGUAAUCAGACCCAGAACAUCCAGUCUAGCAAAAGUGGUCAGUAUCUAGUGCCCCCCUUAGACACAGUAUGGGCUUGCAAUACCGGUCUCACUCCUUGUGUGUCUAUGUCUGUUUUUAAUAGUUCCAAAGAUUUCUGCAUUUUGGUUCAGCUUAUUCCUAGACUCCUGUAUCAUGAUGAUAGCUCCUUUUUAGACAAAUUUGAGCAUCGGGUCCGCUGGAGAAGAGAGCCCGUUACCUUAACUUUGGCAGUUCUAUUAGGAUUAGGAGUAGCGGCUGGAGUAGGUACAGGAACCGCUGCCUUAAUUAAGACCCCCCAAUACUAUGAAGAACUACGUGCAGCUAUGGAUGUUGAUCUUAGAACUAUAGAACAGUCUAUAACCAAAUUAGAAGAAUCUUUAACUUCCCUGUCCGAAGUGGUGCUACAGAAUAGAAGGGGAUUAGACUUAUUAUUCCUUAAAGAAGGAGGACUCUGUGCUGCCCUAAAAGAAGAAUGUUGUUUUUAUGUUGACCAUUCAGGAGUAAUCAAAGAUUCUAUGGCCAAACUUAGAGAACGCCUAGAUAUACGUAAAAGAGAAAGAGAAAGCCAACAAGGAU
rnacentral:lncRNA from 1 species